AUGUGUGUUUUUAUUGGAGAUUUGAUUUUUAGUCAAGGCGGGCUUUCUAACUGGAGGUGUGUUUUUUAGUCGAGUCCGUUUUUUUACUCGUUUUUUUUGUAAUGGAUAGGUGGGAUUUUUACAAGAGGUGUGAUUUUUAACGUGUGCUUUUUUUUACUUGAGAUGGGCUUUUUAUUCGUGGUUUCCUUUUGCUCGAGUUAUUUUAACUCGGUGUGUUUUAACGUGUUUUUUUAUUUGAGCCUGGCUUUUUACUCGAUAUGGGUUUUUUUUAGUCAAUGCGGGCUUUUUACUUAAUACUAGUGGUUUCAUUUAACCUGAGAAACGGGUUUAACCCUAGCUGUGCUUUUUUCUCGUUUUUCACUCGUUAGUUGUUUUACUCAAGGUGAUUUUGUAACUGGGCGGUGGUUAUUUAGUCGGGGCGGAUGUUUAGGCGGGCUAGUUGACUGGAACAGGUUGUUUACAUAAGGGGUUGUCCACUCCAGCUGUACUUGCGACGCGCGCGGGCUUCGGAAACUUUCUCCGCCUCGGUUUCCCGCUCAAAAACAUUUCGUGCUAAUUGGACGAAGCCUGGGGUCCGAUCAGCGUUAGGGGGGCAAAGAUCUUUGGUUGCGGGCGGGUGCUGCGAGUGUUUAAAAGGCGGACGGGUCCGGCUCCCGCCUCCAGUCACGGAGCCGCUCUGGUGAAGGAACAUCGUGGUCGCCAGCUCCCAUUCCUAGCCCAUGUUCCUCAUUGGUUACUCUUGGUUUUUCGUGGCAUGUUUCUUUUAACUCCGAUAUGCUGUUUAUUCGAGGUGUUUUUUAGUUGCGGUGGACUUAUUACUGGUGUGGACGUGAAUCUGCGCACAGUCCAUGAUGUGAGCCACCGUUUUACCCAAAGAUAUUGGUGCAUCUAUAUACUUAACCCGCCUGGUCCAACCAUAGCUCUUGAAAGAGCCAGCCAAGGUAAGGUGCAAGAAAAAGCCUUUGAGCCCACUGGCAGGAGAAGGUCCUCACCUGAGGCUGACAAACAGGGUGAGUAUGAUAACACUUAGAGAAUUGUGUUUGUGUUGAUGGGUGUGUUACAAGGGAACAGGUUCAAGGAUCUGACUAGUAGAACAGAGAAAGGCUCACUCAUCAGUUUAGUUACAAAUCAGAUUUAUUGGCAAGAGAGAGAACAAAAACAAUACUUGUCUUGGUCAGUGCGGGGUCUGUUUUACAGAAGCACACCUCUCUCUCUGCCUCCAUCCGCGGCACUGAUCGCGACCCAGCCCAUCGGUGAACCCCUCUCAUACAUGAACUAACUUACGGCUUCCUGGCGCCUGCCUUUAUACAGGUAAGAAAUCAGCUGUUGAAAUAACCGCCGGUAAGUCCUGGCCAAUUGCGCUUCCCCCAAAUUCAAACUGUAACCAAUGGCAGGGGACUGCAUCCCAGCAAGCCCCGCCCACUUCCUUUGGGAACAAAGCGCUAUCAGCUGCAGACUGGUAUGUAGAGCAAUACACACAACGCUAGACUUGGUGCGCAAAUGAAUACACAUGGUGCUGCAGACUUGGUGUACAAAUCAAUACACACAGCGUUACAGACUUGGUGUACAAAUCAAUACACACAGCGUUACAGACUUGGUGUACAAAUCAAUACACACAGCGUUACAGACUUGGUGUACAAAUCAAUACACACAGCGUUACAGACUUGAUGUGCAAAUCAAUACACAGCAUUACAGACUUGGUGUACAAAUCAAUACAUGCAGCGUAACAGACAUGGUGUACAAUCAAUCAAUAAACACAGCGUUACAGACUUGGUGCGCAAAUCAAUACACACAGCGUUACAGACUUGGUGUACAAAUCAAUAUACACGGCGCUGCAGACUUGGUGCGCAAAUCAAUACAUAUAGCGUUACAGACUUGGUGUACAAAUCAAUAAACACAGCGUUACAGACUUGGUGUACAAAUCAAUACACACAGCGUUACAGACUUGGUGUACAAAUCAAUACACACAGCGUUACAGACUUGGUGCGCAAAUCAAUACACACAGCGUUACAGACUUGGUGUACAAAUCAAUACACACAGCGUUACAGACUUGAUGUGCAAAUCAAUACACAGCAUUACAGACUUGGUGUACAAAUCAAUACACGCAGCGUAACAGACAUGGUGUACAAAUCAAUAAACACAGCGUUACAGACUUGGUGCGCAAAUCAAUAUACACGGUGCUGCAGACUUGGUGCGCAAAUCAAUACAUAGAGUGUUACAGACUUGGUGUACAAAUCAAUAAACACAGCGUUACAGACUUGGUGCGCAAAUCAAUAUACACGGUGCUGCAGACUUGGUGCGCAAAUCAAUACACAUAGCGUUACAGACUUGGUGCGCAAAUCAAUACACAGCGUUACAGACUUGGUGCGCAAAUCAAUACACACAGCACUAGACUUGGUGCGCAAAUCAAUAUACACGGUGCUGCAGACUUGGUGCGCAAAUCAAUAUACACGGUGCUGCAGACUUGGUGCACAAAUCAAUACACACAGCGUUACAGACUUGGAGCGCAAAUCAAUACACAGCACUAAAGACGGCGCUCAAAUCAAUUCACACAGCGCUUCAGACUUGGCACGUAAAGGUAAUACACGGUGCUGCCGGUUCGAUGCUGAAAGGUUUAAACAGCGCUGUCGGCUUAACGUGCUGAAAUUUAAACAAAGAGCUAUCAGCUACAGUGCUAUCGGUUCUAAAUAUAGCGUUACUGGCCACAGCGAUUUGGGCUUUAAACACAACUCUAUGGGUCACUGAUUGUUCAGGCAAAAUUCUCGUAUGUUAUGAAUUUCUGUGCUAAUAGGCAAUGGAUCCAAUGUCUCUUCAGUAGCUAAAAGCUGCUUCUUUGCAAUGGCUGAUGGUAAUUUUUUUACUCGUGUGAAUUUUAGUUAAAGCCUGCUUUUUAUUGGAGAUUGUUGUUUGCUUAGUCGAGGCGGGCUUUUUAUUCGUGCUUUUUUUAAACUUUUUCACCUCGAGGUGUGUUUUUUAGUCGAGGCGGACUUUUAACUGGUGAGAACAAAUCUGCGCACUGUCCAAUCUGCGAGUCACCAUUGUACCCAAAGACAUAGGCGCGUCUACAAGCUUACCCCGCCUGGUCCAACCAUAGCUCUUGAAAGAGCCACCGAAGGUAAGGUGCAGAAAUAAGCCUUUGAGCCUGCUGGCAGGAGAUAGUGAUCACCUGAGGUCGACUACCAGGGUAUGUAUGAUAACACUUAAAGAAUCGUGUUUGUGUUGAUGAGUGUGUAAUGAUGAAUUCCUGUGCUAAAAGGCGAUGGAUCAAAUGUCUGUUCAGCUGCUAAAAGCUGCUUUUUGCAAUGGCUAUGAUGAUAAUUUUGACAGGAGGAUGAGCGUCAUAUAAAGCCAGUGAAUAUGUGAUAAUGAUGUCUCUCCUUUCCAGGGAUGGGAACACCCACCAGCGAUUCAAUACUGGCUAAAAGAAAGUGAAAGAGAUACCAAAUGGAAGUGAAAGAGAUACCAAAUGAAAGAUCUUUCCAAGAAAAACCAAGAGAGCAAGAACAGCAAAAUUGAUGCAGAUUAUCUCCGGGAAAAGCCAAGAGUUCACAGACCAGAAGUAGCUGGAGAUGGAGACAACAUCAAUGGGAAACCUGGUCAUACCGUGGAUCUGAAUGGAAAACCCGUACUGCCUGGAAGCCCACGAGGUGCUCCUUAGGGAGGCCAUCUGAAAUCUAUCUGAAGGAUGAGAUCAGUACUACCAGAGCUCAGCUGUCAUAGACCCACUGAAGGCCAGUGAGCUUAACUUGGCCAGGUUGUGCACGUGAUCCGUCCAAGGAGAAAAUUGUUCCCUGUCCGAGAAGAUGAAAUACAUCUACAACCUUCCUUCAAGAGAUAAGGUACGUAGAAGAGAAUGAUAUUUGGGAUGACGAUCCUGUAAUACUGUUCUAUGAAGGCAAUUAUACGUGGAAAGCUGAUCGCCCUGACAUCAUCACAAAAAAAGGCCCGGCUAGCUACGUAUGAACAUAAAGUAGAAAAAUUGAAAGAAUUGGAUAAAAAACAAAAACAUACAGGAUCAGUUGGUACUAAAACAGAUUAAGGAAAUAAGAGGGGGAGAUAGAAACAUAGAAAACAGGUGCAGGAGUAGGCCAUUCGGCCCUUCGAGCCUGCACCGCCAUUCAAUAUCAUGGGCUGAUCAAUGACGGAUCCAUCACAAAUCCAUCACAUGGCUGAGAUAGAUGAGAUCCUCAGGGGAGAUAUGGAAAAAAGGGCAAGAUUUGUAAAGCAGACCUAUUAUGAAGCAGGUCCAAAAGCAACGAGACUCCUGGCCAGACGCCUGCGCUAACAGCAGGCCUCUAAUACAAUUCAUAAAAUAAGAUCCUAAAACCAAUCAAUUAUCACAUAAGCCAGAUGAGAUAGAAAGAAUAUUUGAAGAAUACUAUAAGAAACUAUUCUAAACCACCAUUAGCUGACGAAAGGACAACGAGAAAUUUUCUUAACUCACUUGAUCUGCCAUCCAUUGGUGAGACACAAAAUAAUACCAUUACGUCACAAUUUGCGGUGAAUGAGCUGGAAGCUGCAAUCAGUAGACUUGAGGCUAGUAAAUCACCAGGCAGCGAUGGGUUUCCACCAGAAUGGUACAAGGCCCUUAAGAAAAAGCUAACACGUCUGCUCCUGUCUUGCUUUAACUGGAUCCUUAAAGAGGGCAGGGCUCCCCCAUCAUGGAAGGAAGCAAUUAUUACCAUUUUACCCAAGGAAGGCAAAGACAAAGAGCAAUGUAAACAUUUCAGGCCAAUCUCAAUUUUAAAUGUAGACUACAAACUAUUUACCUCAAUCAUUUGCAAAAGACUCGAGACUUUUGUCCCAGAUCUGAUUAAUGAAGACCAAACUGGAUUUAUUCGGGGGCGUCAAAAACACAGGAUAAUAUUAGAAGAACCCUCCACAUUGUGGAUAAUGCUCAAAAAAAUGAUACAAAUAUGGUCCUGGUCAGUUUAGAUGCAGAAAAAGCCUUUGAUAGUGUUAUUUGGGUAUUUUUUAUAUUAAGUACUAAGGAGAUUUGGUUUCAAUGAAGAUGCAAUUUGUUGUAUUAAAACAAUAUAUCAGAAGCCCACAGCUAGGAUUAAGAUAAAUGGAAACAUCAAAAAGGAUCCAGUUAGAGAGGAGCACAAGACAAAGAUGCUGUCUUUCUCCUACUCUCUUCGUUUUGUAUAUUGAACCCUUAGCACAAGCAAUAAGGCAGAGAGAAGACCUGCAGGGGGUCAAAAUAGGGGGGAAACAACAUAUUGGUCUUUUCGCUGAUGUCAUUAUUUUUCUUGAACAACCAGAUAUGUCUCCCAAAUCUAAUGAACCUAUUUGAAACAUAUGGAUACUACUCAGGGUACAAACUGAAUAUAACAAAAACACAAAUUCUUUCAUUCAAUUAUUCUCCAUCCCAACAAAUCAGAGAUGCAUAUAAUCUGAAAUGGAAUUCUAAAACAAUGCAGUAUCUUGGUGUAACUAUAACCAAAAACACUUUCCAACACGUUUGAAACUAAUUAUAACAAAAUUGAAGAAAACAUCAAAAAGUAUGUUGAAAGGUGGUCGACCCUUCCUCUAGACUUCAGUGCCAGAAUACAAACGGUAAAAAUGAAUAACCUACCUAAACUACUAUGUUUAUUCCAAUCUCACCCAAUUAAUGUUCCCCGAGACAAAUUCAUAGCCUGGGAUAAAAUGAUCUCUAGAUUCAUUUGGAAAAGCAAAAAACCAAGAAUAAAACUAACAACACUUCAACUGCCGAAAAGCAAGGUUGGAAUGGCUUUACCAAAUCUGAGGAAAUACUUUUAUGCAGCUCAACUCAGACCUCUGGCUUGUUGGUGUAGACCUGAUUAUGAAUCUCGAUGGGAAGAAAUGGAAAGGGAGAUACAGGGUUACCAGACCCAGAUUUUGGUGGGAGACAAAUAUCUGACAGGGGCUUUGAGACAUGCUAUGGAUCCAAUAGUAGCAUUUACGUUAGAAAGAUGGAAUGUUAUAGUGGAAAAAUACAAAUUAAAAAGAGGGGUUCACACAUUGAAGUGGUUCACAUAUGACUCAAAGUUUAAGCCAGGGGUGUAUGAUUCAAAAUUCAAAGAAUGAGCACAAAAAGGCAUAACGGCAAUGUAUACAAUUUCAGAAAAUGGCGAGUUUAUGAGCUUCCAAGAUUUAAAGUCAAAGUAUGGUCUCAAACAUAAAGAUUUUUUUAGAUACUUGCAAUAAAGAGACUAGGCCAGAACCAGAUGAAACUUCAAAUAAUGCGAUCAAGGUGAUUGUGGAUGUAUACAAACAGAAGGAGUCUCGGGUCAUCUCUGCUUUCUACCAAGCUCUGGUGGGAAGCGGGGGAAGAAUCAACGCUCUACAUAAAAACAAAAUGGGAAGCAGAAAUAAAGAUUCAAAUAAGAGAAGAAGAAUGGUAUCAAAUGUGCGAAACACAAUGUUCAUCUACAAGCUCACUAGUAUGGAGAGAAUUUUGCUGGAAGAAUCUAUCUCGCUUGUUUAUAACACCCAAAAUAAAAUGCAGACAACUUGCUGUCCAACAACACUGUUGGAGGCUGUGUGGGAGUACGGAGGCAGACCACUCGCAUAUUUUCAGGAACUGUAAAGAUAAGGCCAUACUGGGAAAAUGUUAUUGCAGUUGCAAAAAAUAUCUUGGGUUAUAAAAUCCCAAAUACCUGCCCUGUGAUGUAUCUGGUGCGUAUUAAAGAUAUUGUAAAAAUAUAAGAUACAUAUUUGAUUAAAGUUUUGCUUGUAGCAAGUAAGAAGGCCAUUACCAGGCAGUGAUUUAAUGAAAAAAGUCCAAAACAGGAACUGGUUCGAAAUUGUGUGAGACAUCUUUAAUAUGGAAACUUUAACAGAUUUGGUUUCCUGCUAAAAAAUCUGUUCAUGUUAUUGGACGAAACCCAAGGUCCGAUCAGCCUUGGGGGCGGGUGCUGCGAGCGUUUAAAUGGUGGAUGGGCCUGGCUCCCGCUUCCAGUCAUGGAGCCGCAUGUCCACAGGAAGCUCCGCAAUGUCAAGAUCGCCCUGACAGGAGCGCAGCACCAGGUCUCAUCGCUCCCCACCUGGUGCUGUUCCAUCCAGUGCUUCCAGCAAUCCAACAAAUCAAUAAAAAUCUGUUCAUGCUGAUUGGACAAAACCCAACAAAUCAAUAAAAAUUUAAGUGAAAAAAAAGAGAAAUAUGCAAGUAUAGUUCAGAUGAAGAAUUGAUGUUGAGACUUGGUAGCAGGUGUCAUAAUUUAUUAGUAAUGGCAUUGUGACAACGUAAAGUGCAAGUACUGAACACUACAUCCCCACUACAUCCCUUCUCCAACUUAUGGAUCCGUGUGUGAUAAUGCAUGGGACACGGUUGGUGUGUGAAUGGUGUUUGAUAAAAACUGCCUGCAUCUAGUGCCUGACCUGAGAGGUUUUGGGGUUGGUAAUGGUCUAUGAUUUUUUAUUUUUCUAUGGAUGUACGGAAACUAUUAUUUCUUUUAUGUAAACCACUUUGGUUUCAACGUGAGUUGAUUUAAACGUGCUAUAUAAAUAAAAUUUACAUACUAUGUCAAACCAGAGCAAAAGGUUGAGUUUGGCUUGGAAAGUAGGUUGUGAAGAGGUGAGUUGGAAGACAUGCAGAGUUAUUAGACUUAUUAAAGAGAACUGUCGCCCCAAGAUUUGCUUGACCUUAAAAGUGCGGGAACAUGAAGCAGUGAAGAUAGAGCAGGUUGAGGUUCUUUAAAAUCUAACAGCCAAAUGGUUGACAGAUGUAUUCUGAUGAAUUCAAGAUUCAAGAGAGUUUAUUGUCACGUGUCCCAGAUAGGACAAUGAAAAUCUUGCUUUGCUUCAGCACAACAGAAUAUGAUAGGCAUGAGAGUGAAGAUGGUCCAUAUAAUGAGGAUAAUGCAAAAGGUAGUAGAAAUGUGCUUUGGGUUCUGAAAUGUGUUGCUGGUGCAAUGUGGUUCAAGAAAAUGAUGGUUGAUGGAAAGAUGUAGUUCUUGAACCUGGAGAGAAUGAUUGUCAGGUUGCUGAGUAUCUUUUAAGAGGCACCAGCGAGAGCUGCAAUUUGUAUUUUAUUUUGUCUGGGUGCCUUAUUUCUCUAUUUGCUUACUUACAUACCCUGCAAGUGUAAUUCAGACCAGUAUUUGUUCUUCAGGCUGGGUAGAAAGAGUCAUAAUUUAUCUAGCUGCAAUACAAAGUAAAGAAUAAGCCUUUCUUUGAUUGAAUUGUUAAAGGGUGUGAGGUGGGCCAUCGAGGGGUGAGAAAGGGAGACAAUGUCAUCCAAAAGAGGCUUGGCUGCUCAGAACAGGGACACGGUGGGUGACGGAGAGAAGAUAAAGAAGAGGAGCCUGUGGCAAUGGUAGGUACAACAAAUCCUGAAAGUGACACCUGAAAGCCAAGGGAUCUCUGGUCAUGAAGCCUAUCCUUGUCAGAGGACAAACACCCUAUUCAAGUCAACACUAGACAAAAGGAUGCAGAAAUAACCAAGCAGAAAACAUACAUGGGAGGAACAGCAGCAUCAGAACCCUACACAGAUUGUCUCUUGGAAAACCAAGACAUCAUAACUGACCAGAAAGUAGCUUGAGCUAACGUCGAUGGGGAACUGGACUCUUCUUUGCAGUGUCAUUGGAUUCACCAUCAGGGCAAAGCCAGAAGAAAGAUAUCAAAUAGCCUGACCAACACUGAAAGGGAUCUGCAAGCAAGGCAGAAUCUCCAGGAUUGAUGCAUCUACUUGCUUGAAGAUGGAGCCAUCACCAAUUCAACACGGAAGAAUAGAAACCACCAGUGACGAUGAAGAGGAAAAGACAAAUCCAGGACUUAACAGGAGAGCAUGAGCAUCAUAACUGACGCUGCUUGUUGUUGGGAAACACAAGCGAGGAGGUUAAAGAGAGCAAGGUGUGCCGUCCAAGAGAGGAUUCCGCAGCUGAAGACGGGCCCUCGGUGGGUACCGGAGGACAGAGAGAAGAGGAAGAGGAGCAUGUGCCAAUGGAGGUUACGACAAAUGCAGAACAGGACACCUGAAAGACAGAUCUCUGGUAAAGAAGCAUAUCCUUGUCACAGGACAGAACCCACGCCCAAUUCAACACUGGACAAAAUGAGGAAGGAACAUACAUGGGAAAACAGGAGCAUCAGAACCCGACAACGGAUCAUCACUGUGUAAACCAAGGCAUCACAACUGACGAGAAGCAGCUGGAGCUAACGAUGAUUUAGAGUCAAGCAGGACUCCUCUUUGCAGUGUCAUUGGAUUCACCAGAAGAAAGAUGUCAAAUAGCCUGACCAGCUCUGGGAGGACUCUGCUAGCAAGGCAGAAUCUCUUGGAAUGAGCAUCUUUGACUUAAGAUGGAGCCAUCACUAAUUUAACACUGAACGAAAGAAAAUAGUAGUGAUGUCUAGGAGGAAAAGACCCAUCCAGGACCAAACAGGAGAUCAUGAGCUUCAUAACUGACGCUGCUUGUUGGUGGGAAUCACAGGCAAGGAAGUUGAAGAGAUCAAGUUGUGUCGUCCAAGAGAGGAUUCCGCAGCUGAAGACGGGCCCUCGGUGGGUGCCGGAGGUUGGACGUUACCGUGGAAGGUGCCGUACUGAAGAUGAAGAAAAGCAAGAAGCAAAGAUAGUUACCACAAAUGACCCACUUUCGUCACCCAAGCAAGAUGGUUAAAGGGAGUAAGUUGGGCCCUCAGGGAGCGAGGAAGAUGGAUGGAGCUGCCCAAGAGAGGAGUCAGCAGUUGAAGACGGGCCCUCGGUGAGUGCCGGAGGUUGGAGAGAAGACGACUAGAAGCAUGUGCCAAUUGUAAUUACGACAAAUGCAGAACGCGACACCUGUUUGCCAAGGGAUCUCUGGUUAUGAAGCUUAUCUUUGUCACAAGACAGAAGGCACACCCAAGUCAACACUGGACAAAAUGAGGAAGGAACAUACAUGGGAGGAACAGGAGCAUCAGAACCCUACCAUGGAUUGUCACUGGGAAAAGCAAGGCAUCAUAACUGACCAUAAGUAGCUGGAGCUAACGUAGAUGGGGAACCAAGCUGGACUCUUCUUUGCAGUGUCAUUGGAUUCACCAUCGGGGCAAAGCCUGAAGAAAGAUGUCAAAUAGCCUGACCAGCUCUGAAAGGGCUCUGCAAGCAAGACAGAAUCUCCAGGAAUUAUGCAGCUAUUUGCUUGAAGAAGGAGCCAUCACCAAUUUAACACUGAAGAAAAGAAAGCACUAGUGAUGACGAGGAGGAGGAAAAGACCCAGCCAGGACUUAACAGGAGAGCAUGAGCAUCACAACUGAUUCUGCUUGUUGUUGGGAAACACAAGCGAGGAGGUUAAAGAGAGCAAGGUGUGCCGUCCAAGAGAGGAUUCAGCAGCUGAAGACGGGCCCUCGGUGGGUACCGGAGGUUGGACGAAGACGGGCCCUCGGUGGGUGCCGGAGGACAGAGAGAAGAGGAAGAGGAGCAUCUGCCAAUGGAGGUUACGACAAAUGCAGAACAGGACACCUGAAAGACAGAUCUCUGGUAAUGAAGUAUAUCCUUGUCACAGGGCAGAACCUACACCCAAUUCAACACUGGACAAAAUGAGGAAGGAACAUACAUGGGAGGAACAGGAGCAUCAGAACCAGACAACGGAUCAUCACUGUGUAAACCAAGGCAUCACAACUGACCAGAAGUAGCUGGAACUAACAAUGAUUGAGAACCAAGCUGGACUCCACUUUGCAGUGUCAUUGGAUUCACCAGAAGGGCAAAGCCAGAAGAAACAUGUCAAAUAGCGUGACCAGCUCUGGGAGGGCUCUGCUAGCAAGGCAGAAUCUCCAGGAAUGAUGCAUAUUUGACUUAAGAUGGAGCCAUCACCAAUUUAACACUGAACGAAAGAAAACGUUAGUGAUGUCUAGGAGGAAAAGACCCAUCCAGGACCAAACAGGAGAUCAUGAGCUUCAUAACUGACGCUGCUUGUUGGUUGGAAUCACAGGCAAGGAAGUUGAAGAGAGCAAGUUGUGUCGUCCAAGAGAGGUUUCCGCAGCUGAAGACGGGCCCUCGGUGGGUGCCGGAGGUUGGACGUUACCAUGGCAGGUGCCGUACUGAAGAUGAAGAAAAGCAAGAAGCAAAGAUAGUUACGACAAAUGACCCACUUUUGUCACCCAAGCAAGAUGGUUAAAGAGAGUGAGUUGGGCCCUCAGGGAGCGAGGAAGAUGGAUGGAGCCGCCCAAGAGACGAGUCAGCAGUUGAAGACGGGCCCUCGGUGAGUGCCGGAGGUUGGAGAGAAGACGACUAGAAGCAAGUGCCAAUUGUAAUUACGACAAAUGCAGAAUCCGACACCUGUAAGCCAAGGGAUCUCUGGUUAUGAAGCUUAUCUUUGUCACAGCACUGGACAAAAUGAGGAAGGAACAUACAGUGGAGGAACAGAAGCAUCAGAACCCUAAUGCAGUGUCAUUGGAUUCACCAUUAGGUAAAGCCAGAAGAAAAAAUAGCAAAUAGCCUGACCAGCUCUGGGAGGACUCUGCUAGCAAGGCAGAAUCUCCAGUAACGAUGCAUCUUUUUGACUGAAGAUGGAGCCAUCACCAAUUCAACACCGAACUAAAGAAAGCACCAGUUAUAACAGGGAGGAAAAGCCCCAGCCAGGACCAAACAGGAGAUCAUGAGCAUCACAACUGCACUGCUUGUUAGUGGGAAACACAAGAGAGAAUGUUGAGAGCAAGUUGUGCCGUCCAAGAGAGGAUUCCGCAGCUGAAGACGGGCCCUCGAUGGGUGCCGGAGGUUGGACGUUACCAUGGCGGGUGCCGUACUGAAGAUGAAGAAAAGCAAGAAGCCAAGAUAGUUAGGACAAAUGACCCACUUUCGUUACCCAAGCGAGAUGGUUAAAGAGAGUGAGCUGGGCCUUGGAGCGAGGAAGACGGAUGGAACCGUCCCAGAGAGGACUCUGCAGCUGAAGACAGGCCCUCGGUGGGUACCGGAGGUUGGAGAGAAGACAACUAGAAGCAAGUACCAAUGGUAAUUACGACAAAUGCAGACCCGACACCUGAAAGACAAGGGAUCUCUGGUAAUGAAGCCUAUCUUUGUCAGAGGACACACACCCAAAUCAACUGGACAAAAUGAGGAAGGAACAUACAUGGGAGGACCAGGAGCAUCAAAUCCUACUACAGAUUGUCUCUGGGAAAACCAAGGCAUCGCAACUCACCAGAAGUAGCUGGAGCUAACGUCGGUUGAGAACCAAGCUGGACUCCUCUUUGAAAUGUCAUUGGAUACACCAGAAGUCAAAGCCAGAAGAAAAAUGUCAAAUAACCUGACCAGCACUGGGAGGACUCUGCUAGCAAGGCAGAAUCUCCAGGAAUGAUGCAUCUUUUUGACUGAAGAUGGAGCCAUCAUCAAUUUUAACACUGAAGAAAAGAAAAUACCAGUGAUGACGAGGAGGAAAAGAUCCAUCUAGGACCAAACAGAUGAUCAUGAGCUUCAUAACUGACUCUGCUUGUUGGUGGGAAACACAGGCAAGGACGUUGAAGAGAGUUGUGUCGUCCAAGAGAGGUUUCGGCAGCUAAAGACGGGCCUGCUGUGGGUGCUGGAGGUUGGACCUUACUGCGGUGGGUGCCGGACAGAAGAUGAAGAAGGUGAGCACGAAGUAAAGAUAAUUACAACAAUUGACCCACUUUCGUCACCCAAGCAAGACGGUUAAAAAGAGUGAGCUGUGCCUCAGGGAGCGAGGUAGACGGAUGGAGCCGCCCAAGAGAGGAGUCAGCAGUUGAAGACUGGCCCUUGGUGGGUGUCGGAGGUCGAAGAGAAGACGACUAGGAGCAUGUGCCAAUGGUAAUUAGGACAAAUGCAGAACGCGACACCUGAAAGCCAAGGGAUCUCUGGUAAUGAAGCCUAUCUUUGUCACAGGACAGAAACCACACCCAAGUCAACACUGGCCAAAAUGAAGAAGGAACAUAGAGGGGAGGAACAGAAGCAUCAGAACCCUACCAUGGAUUGUCAUUGGGAAAACCAAGGCGUUACAACUGACCAGAAUUAGCUGGGCCUAACGUUGAUGGAGUACCAAGCUGACCUCUUUUCAGUGUCAUUGGAUCCACUGUCAGGGCAAAGCC